UGAAAAUUUGCUUAUAUAAGGCCUAUUUUGUGAAAACUUUGGAAAUCUUCUUGUCCAUAACCAUAGGGCCUAGGGCUACCAAAUUUGGUAUGUAGUGACAUCUUAUAGUCCUCUACCAAGUUUCUUCAAAUUAUGCCCCCGGGGUCAAAUUUGACCCUGCCCUGGGGGGUCAAAAAAUUGAAAAUUUGCUUAUAUAAGGCCUGUUUUGUGCAAACUUUAAAAAUCUUCUUGUCCAUAACCGUAUGGCAUAGGGCUACCAAAUUUGGUAUGUAAUGACAUCUAAUAGUCCUCUACCAAGUUUGUUCAAAUUAAGCCCCUGGGAUCAAAUUUGACCGUUC